CCUUGAUGAGAAGCAGUUUUCUUUUCAUUAACAUAUAAUUAUAGUUGGAAAUCUUCAUCUCUAAAAACUUACGAUAGGAUUUAAAAAUAAAAUUGAACAAACAUAGUUGCCGUCUAUCACACUUUUAAAAUAUUUGAUUUUGUAUCAAAGCUGUUCAUAGAACACAUUGAGAGGUAUGUAUCCUCAUUUUAAAGCACGUGUUUCCAGUAUGACAAAGAAAGCACUAAUUGUGGUUAUCAAAGUUGUAAACAAUCACAAGAAAAGGAAUGGUGCAACGAAAGAUAUGAAGCAGAUGUGUUGGAUGUUUGGAGAACUUGGGUUCGAUGUGAUUCCGCGUUUGGACCUUAAAGUCCUUGGGAUAGAAAAGGAACUACGAAAAGCAUGUUCCGAACCCUGCGACUGCUUUGUGUUUGUGAUAAGUUCACAUGGUCGAGAGGUUCUCCUGCCUGGGACAUCAAACGUGUACGUGUAUGACCAGACCGUUUUGGGAUCGGACGGAGAGACUGUCUCUGUAGAUGAUCUUUUCAAAUUCAUGGAUAACAAAGUGCUGAAAGGAACCCCAAAGUUGUGCUUUAUUCAGGCAUGCCGAUCAAAAGCACAAAUACAAAUGUCAUCGAGCACAGAUAAUGCAGAGCUUCAGUGUUGAUGAGGGUAUUCCUGUAAUGGUAUCUAAGCCGACAAUGACGGGCGGACAUAUUGCACAUCAGUUAGAUCAGGCGGAUUGUAAAACAACGCAGGACGAUUCUUCACUGUCGCGAAAUUCUGAGCUGCAAGUCUGGUACGACGAUUCUGUUAUUGAAAUGUUAAAUACGGAGUCUGGCACUGAAAAGAAUAGAGACAAACACGUUACAGCAGCCGUUGGCGAUAAAACUACCCAUUUCAAAUCAUACAUUCGGUUGAUGGGUUGGUUGAGUAUCGAACAUUAAUACAAUAACCAAUAGUUAUCAAUUGUAUAUCAUAUUUUAGGCUUGUUUCAGGUGUUUGCUUAAUUGUACUGAACUAGUUGCAUAAGUAUAUAAAACAAGAGAUGUGUUGUCAGAAUUACAAUGCCCCUUAAUGCGCCGCUUUGAAGCCAUAUAUUUGACCUUUGACCUUGAAGGGUGACCUUGACCUUUCACCACUCAAAAUGUACAGCUCAAUGAGAUACACAUGCAUGCCAAAUAUCAAGGUGCUAUUUUCAAUAUUGCAAAAGUUAUGAUCAAGGUUUAAGUUUGUGACACAUACAAUGACAGACAGACAUACAAUGACAGACUGACAGGCCAAAUACAAUAUACCCCCGAUCAUUGGAUCCGUGGCAAUCUGGUAAAAAUGCUUUCAAUAUUUAACCUUUAUAAGUGAAAAUCUGAAAAUUAGUAUUGUUAAAAAUACAUAACGCUUUUGUGAUAAAUCAUGUUUUGACCAAUUUAACGGCGAUUUCGAGUACGCCGACAUGCAUUGAAAUAGUUACGAACAAAAAUGCUGUGUUUUUUUUCAAAUUACAAACAAAACGUUUAAAGGCUUAAUAAUAAAUGUUGAACUGUCCGUCUUAUCAAAUCAUUGAUCUAAGCAGACAACGACAAUCCUUUCAAUCUGACUGAUUCUGAUGACGAAGACACUGAUGAUGAAGUAGAUGCAGGCGGAAGUGUUGGUGGUGCAGCAGGUGGAGGCGAUUCUAACGUUAUGCCCGAGCUUCCCGUCGACGUUGCCCCAGUAAACUGCCCGAGAGAUUGCCUUGUCAUGUACUCAGUUCAACCGCAUAAGUACGCUCUACGUCAUGCAUCCAGUGGCUCGUGGAUGCUUCACUUCAUGUUCCACAACCGUAAGGAACUAAAGAAGCAGAAUGGAAACGUUCUAACUUAUUUGACUUCUGUUGCGAGGGCCAUGGCAAACCAUACAUGCAACUUCUCAAUCGAGAAUGUUAAAAAAGAGGUGAAGAUAUGUGGAACAAUAUACCAUCGACCGACAACAGAUGUGAUUAUGAAAGCUCAAAGCCACCCGACGAGACAGAUGUUUGCUUUCAAGGCAGCGUUAAAGAGAUACAUGGAUGCAAUCAAUCGCAAGAUGAAUUUGGCACGCUUUUAACAUAGUUAACAUUAAGGACUUGUCGAAGUAAUAACUUAGAAUUUAAUAGUGCGUUGGUUUAAAUAAAUGCGUGUUUUACGUAUAAGUAGACGAUAUUUAUUUUUGAUAAUAGAGGUUUAAACAAAGAUACAUAUGUAAUGUUAUUUAUCUAGAUCAGAUAGGGAAAAUAGUAAAAUUGUGUAAAUAUUAUUAUUUAAUCAAACAUUAACAUAUUCAAUUUAAUACAUAAAAUAUACAUAUACUUCAACAAUAACUAAGAUAUAUAUAAAAAUGUAUAUACUAUUAACGUCAGUAUUUUAUUGUUUUAUUGAGUU